rnacentral:rRNA from 1 species
CCGGAGGAAGGUGGGGAUGAUGUCAAGUCAGCAUUGGCCUUUACUAUCCUGGGCUACACACACGCUACAAUGGCCAACACAAUAGGUUGCUAAGCCGCGAGGUGGCGCCAAUCCAUAAAAGUUGGUCUCAGUUCAGAUUGUAGGCUGCAACCCGCCUGCAUGAAGAUGGAGUUGCUAGUAACCGCAGGUCAGCUAUACUGCGGUGAAUACGUUCCCGGGGCUU